rnacentral:rRNA from 1 species
GAUAUCGGAUUAGCUAGUUGGUGAGGUAAAGGCUCACCAAGGCGACGAUCCGUAGCGGGUCUGAGAGGACGACCCGCCACACUGGAACUGAGACACGGUCCAGACUCCUACGGGAGGCAGCAGUGGGGAAUUUUGGACAAUGGGGGAAACCCUGAUCCAGCCAUUCCGCGUGAGUGAAGAAGGCCUUCGGGUUGUAAAGCUCUUUCAGCGGGAACGAAACGGUCGGCUUUAAUAAAGUCGGCUAAUGACGGUACCUGCAGAAGAAGCACCGGCUAAUUACGUGCCAGCAGCCGCGGUAAUA